rnacentral:rRNA from 1 species
GACAGGUGGUGCAUGGUUGUCGUCAGCUCGUGUCGUGAGAUGUUGGGUUAAGUCCCGCAACGAGCGCAACCCUUAUUGUUAGUUGCCAUCAUUCAGUUGGGCACUCUAGCAAGACUGCCGGUGACAAACCGGAGGAAGGUGGGGAUGACGUCAAAUCAUCAUGCCCCUUAUGACCUGGGCUACACACGUGCUACAAUGGGAAGUACAACGAGUUGCGAAGUCGCGAGGCUAAGCUAAUCUCUUAAAGCUUCUCUCAGUUCGGAUUGCAGGCUGCAACUCGCCUGCAUGAAGCCGGAAUCGCUAGUAAUCGCGGAUCAGCACGCCGCGGUGAAUACGUUCCCGGGCCUUGUACACACCGCCCGUCACACCACGAGAGUUUGUAACACCCG